rnacentral:rRNA from 1 species
UGGGGAAUCUUCCGCAAUGGACGAAAGUCUGACGGAGCAACGCCGCGUGAGUGAAGAAGGUUUUCGGAUCGUAAAACUCUGUCUUUUGGGGCGAACGUGAGUAUGGUGAACAAUCAUAGUCAGUGACGGUACCAAAGGAGGAAGCCACGGCUAACUACGUGCCAGCAGCCGCGGUAAUACGUAGGUGGCAAGCGUUGUCCGGAAUUAUUGGGCGUAAAGAGCGCGUAGGCGGGAUAGUCAGUCUGUUGUAAAAGUGCGGGGCUCAACCCCGUGAUGGCAAUGGAAACAGCUAUUCUUGAGUGCAGGAGAGGAAAGUGGAAUUCCCAGUGUAGCGGUGAAAUGCGUAGAUAUUGGGAGGAACACCAGUGGCGAAGGCGACUUUCUGGACUGUGUCUGACGCUGAGGCGCGAAAGCCAGGGGGAGCGAACGGGAUUAGAUACCCCGGUAGUCCUGGCCGUAAACGAUGGGUACUAGGUGUGGGAGGUAUCGACCCCCUUCCGUGCCGGAGUUAACGCAAUAAGUACCCCCGCUGGGGAGUACGGUCGCAAGACUGAAACUUAAUGAAUUGACGGGGUCAUAGCUGUUUCCUG